ensembl:snRNA U6 U6 spliceosomal RNA
AUGUUUACUUCAGCUGCAUAUAUGCUGAAGCUGGAACAACACGAAGAUUAGCAUGGACCCUGAGCAAGGAUGACGCACAUUCAUGAAACGUUCCAUGUUAAA